rnacentral:rRNA from 1 species
GGGUCAGUAGGUUGGUCGUGCCACCGGUACGUACUGGUCUCACUGAUUCCUUCUUCCUGAAGAACCGUAGUGCCAUUAAUUUGGUGUUGCGGGGAAACAGGACUGUUACUUUGAAAAAAUUAGAGUGUUUAAAGCAAGCUAACGCUUGAAUACAUUAGCAUGGAAUAAUGAAAUAGGACGAUCGAUCCUAUUUUGUUGGUUUCUAGGAUUGACGUA